AACGCACAUUGCGCCCGCCAGUAUUCUGGCGGGCAUGCCUGUCCGAGCGUCAUUUCAACCCUCGCGCCCAUCUGGGCUGCGGUGUUGGGGACCGGUCUGCCCCCCCGGGGCGCGCCGCCCCCCAAAUUCAGUGGCGGUCUCGCUGCAGCCUCCCUUGCGUAGUAGCACACCUCGCACCGGAGCGCAGCGCGGCCACGCCGUAAAACCCCCGACCCCCAUGAGUUUGACCUCGGAUCAGGUAGGAAUACCCGCUGAACUUAA
rnacentral:misc_RNA from 1 species